rnacentral:ribozyme from 1 species
GAAAAACCAGUUAUUGAUUUGGUUGUCAUAUUGAUCCACCAUUUUUUUUCUUUCUUCCCUUCCUCUCUCUCUCUCUCUUUCCUUGUGGACUGUUUAGAUCCGUGGUUAUUCCGUUAUCUGGUAGUUUAAAGUUACGAGGAAAGUCCCGCAAUAUUCA